UUUGGUUGUUAGUGAAAUACUUUACUGAAAGUGGUUAUGACUAUGAAAUAGUCAUUAUCGAUGAUGGCAGCCCAGAUGGAACUUUGGAGGUGGCAAAGCAACUAGAAAAGAUUUAUGGAUCAGAUAAAAUACUCCUCAGGCCAAGACCAAAGAAACUAGGAUUAGGAAAUGCAUAUGUCA